AUUGAACGCUGGCGGCAGGCCUAACACAUGCAAGUCGAGCGCGCGGCGGACGGGUGAGUAAUGUAUGGGGACUGCCCGAUAGAGGGGGAUAACUACUGGAAACGGUGGCUAAUACCGCAUCCUAUCGGAUCACCCAUAUGGGCUUAGCUAGUAGGUGGGGUAAAGGCUCACCUAGGCGGCGAUCUCUAGCUGGUCUGAGAGGAUGAUCAGCCACACUGGGACUGAGACACGGCCCAGACUCCUACGGAGGCAGCAGUGGGGAAGAUUGCCAAAUGGGCGCAAGCCGGAUGCAGCCAUGCGGCGUGUAUGAAGAAGGCCUGAGGGUUGUAAAGUAAGUUCAGCGGGGAGGCGUUACCCGCAGAAGAAGCACCGGCUAACUCCGUGCCAGCAGCCGCGGUAAUUC
rnacentral:rRNA from 1 species